GACGAACGCUGGCGGCGUGGAUUAGGCAUGCAAGUCGAACGGUAUCAUCCUUUCGGGGGUGAGAGAGUGGCGAACUGGUGAGUAACACGUAGGUUAUCUACCCUCAAGACGGGGACAACCCAGGGAAACUUGGGCUAAUACCGGAUGUGAGCAACUUUUAGUUGUUUGAAAGGUGGCGUAAGCUGUCGCUUGGGGAUGAGCCUGCGUCCUAUUAGUUAGUUGGUGAGGUAACGGCUCACCUAGGCAAUGAUAGGUAGGCGGCCUUAACGGGUGGUCGCCCACACUGGGAUUGAGAUACGGCCCAGACUCCUACGGGAGGCAGCAGUCGAGAAUAGUCUACAAUGGUCGGAAGACUGAUAGUGCGACGCCGCGUGAACGAUGAAUCCCUUCGGGGUGUAAAGUUCUUUUAUAUGUGAGCAGUGCUUCUUAUAUUAACAGUAGUGGGGAGAGAGAUAUUAGCAUAUGAAUAAGCAACGGCUAACUCCGUGCCAGCAGCCGACGGU
rnacentral:rRNA from 1 species